GAAGCACAUGGUGUGAGUUUAUGGAGUUUAUUAGGAAAGGUUGGGGGCAGUUUUCUAAACAUAUUAAAUUUAAGGUGGGGGAAGGGAAGAUGAUUCUCUUUUGGCAUGACAUUUGGUGUGGGGAAUCAGCUCUUAAAUCAGAUUUUCCAUCUCUUUACAUGAUUGCAAGGGAUCAAAAUGUUGCUGUGGCAGAUUAUCUUCAAUAUAAGAAUAAUAAUAUUCUAUGGAAUGUUGACUUUAUUAGAGAUGCAAAUGACUGGGAAGUGAAUGUUGUUUCAGAUUUAUUGGGAGGAAUUUAUAAUUCAAAAGUGAUGCAGGGAAGAGAGGAUAGGCUAUUGUGGGAUCAUGCUGGAAAUUCCAGGUUUAUAUUGGGUGAUGCCUAAGGAAGUUGUGGAUCUUCUUGCUUGUUGGCGUGGUUUUGAGGCAAGGAAAGGUGUUGAUGCCAGAUGGAGAAUGAUUCCUUUGUGUUUAAUGCGGUGUUUAUGGCUGGAAAGAAAUGAGAGAUGUU